rnacentral:rRNA from 1 species
GUUAGCAAUAAUGAGGCGUGAGAGUGGCGGAUUGGCGAGUAACACGUGAGCAACCUGCCCUGAGGUUGGGGAAAACCGCUGGAAACGGCGGCUAAUAUCCGAUGGAGCGCCCAUGGACAUGAGUGGAGCGCGAAAGGGGGUCCGCAAGGGCUCCCGCCACGGGAUGGGCUCGCGCAUCAUCAGCUUGUUGGCGGGGUAACGGCCCACCAAGGCGUACGAUUAGCUGGUCUGAGAGGAUGACCCAGCCGCACUGGGACUGAGAUACUGCCCAGACUCCUACGGGAGGCUGCAGUCGAGGAUCAUUCGCAAUGGGGGAAACCCUGACGAUGCGACGCUGCGUGGAAGGAUGAAGGCCUUCGGGUUGUAAACUCCUGUCAUGAGGGAAAAGGCGAGGGGACCCAACACGUCUCUUAGUUGAUGGUACCUCAAGAGGAAGGGACGGCUAACUCUGUGCCAGCCGCCGC